AUUACUUGAAUUUUAUACAGGAUUUUAAUAAAAAUUUAGACAAAAAUAAAGCAUGUGUUUAAGCAUUAUUGUUUAAACUGAUCUUUCAAACUAGAACAUAGGCGGAUCAAAGGGGGCCCGCCCCCCCUUUUCGUGGGAAAAAUGUGGUUGAUUAUAAAAGGAAUCAUUGAAGCAUGACUGGAGCGGCCCCCUCUUAGGUCAGUCAGCGGGCCCCCCUUAGGAAAAGUUCUAGAUCCGCC
rnacentral:lncRNA from 1 species